rnacentral:rRNA from 1 species
UACGUAGGGGGAGAGCGUUGUCCGGAAUUACUGGGCGUAAAGGGUGCGUAGGCGGCAGCUUAAGUUGGAUGUGAAAUACCCGGGCUUAACUUGGGGGGUGCAUUCAAAACUGGGCAGCUAGAGUGCUGGAGAGGGAAGCGGAAUUCCUAGUGUAGCGGUGAAAUGCGUAGAUAUUAGGAGGAACACCAGUGGCGAAGGCGGCUUUCUGGACUGUAACUGACGCUGAGGCACGAAAGCGUGGGGAGCAAAC